rnacentral:lncRNA from 1 species
UGGCUAUGUUGGUGUGGAAUCUUACACUAUUAUUAAAAGAACAGAAAUUAAGGCAAGGAAUAUGAAAUUGUGGGAAGGGGAUUUUUUUCACAUGCUUAAACCACUUACAAAUCCAAUUAUUUAAAUACAUGAUGACCAAAUAUUGCACAUUGUUUCAUUAAUUUUAGAAGGUAAUAUAAUAGAAAAUAUGAAAACAACAAUUUUAUAAAAUUUAUUUCAGUACAAGAAUUGACUGGUUGAAAUGACAUCUGCCCAAGUGAUGCUCAGGAUAGUCAGUACAUACACAAACAUGCUGCCUCAGUGGCAUUACAGGAACCCACAGCUGACAAAGGAAACAGAAAUACAGAUAAAGCAAAAGAGAGCAACGUGCCCAUGGUGCAGCUGUCCACAGAAGCCUGUUUGUCCCAUGAAUGCGCCUUGGACAGACUCUUCACACACUGAGCCCUUCUCCCCAUCACCUCCUGCACCCCAAACACUGGGAGAUGCUGCAGCCUGGAAGACUCCCACUAGCACUCACUGUGGGCAAGUGAAGCUCCCCGGCAACUCUGAGCAGAGAGAGGAUAAACAAGCCAGAGGUGACCCUGGUGUAUCCUCACCUGCCAACUCCUGUGGACUCUCCAGCGUGCUAAGGUAGAAGCGAAUGGUGUGGAGAAACGGGUUUUAUGGUGUA